rnacentral:rRNA from 1 species
AUUAAUUUAAUGGCUGCAGUAUUUUAACUGUACAAAGGUAGCAUAAUAAUUAGUUCCUUAAUUAGGGGCUGGAAUGAAGGAUUGAACGAGAUAAAAAUUGUCUCUUUUUAAAUUUUAUAAAUUUAUUUUUAAGUUAAAAAGCUUAAAUAAUAUUAAAAGACGAGAAGACCCUAUAGAGUUUUAUAAUUAUAUUAUAUUUAAAUUUUGUGAAUAAAAUUUUAUUUAUAUAUUGAUUAUUUGAUUGGGGUGAUUUUAAAAUUUAAAAAACUUUAAUAUUUUUAACAUUUAUUUAUGAUUAAUUGAUCCAUAAAUUAUGAUUAAAAGAUUAAAUUACCUUAGGGAUAACAGCGUAAUUUUUUUAAAGAGUUCUUAUCGAAAAAAAAGAUUGCGACCUCGAUGUUGGAUUAAAAUUAAUUUUUGGUGUAGAAGCUAAAAUAUUAGGUCUGUUCGACCUUUAAAAUUUUACAUGAUCUGAGUUUAAAUCGGCGUGAGCCAGGUUGGUUUCUAUCUUUAAUUUAAAUAAAAUAUUUUAGUACGAAAGGACCAGAUAUUUAUAAUGUUUAUUUAUUUAUGAUUAAUAAUA